rnacentral:rRNA from 1 species
UGUUUAUCAAAAACAUAGCCUACUAUUUAACUUAGGUACAACCCUGCCCUCUGACUUUUAACAGCCGCGGUAUCCUAACCGUGCUAAGGUAGCAUAAUCACUUGCCUAUUAAUUAUAGGCUAGAAUGAACGGGAUCACUCACUUAAACUUAUUUUUAUUUAAAUUUAAAUUAAACUUUAAGUCAAAAUACUAAAUUAAAAAGAAAGACAAAAAGACCCUGAAAACUAUUAGAAAUAAUUAGUUGGGGCAACUAUAGACCACUCUAGCGUCUAUUUUUUUUAACUCUUAAAAUCUAAAGUAUCCAGUUACUUCAGGGAUAACAGACUAAUUUUAUUAUUUAGACCCAAUAAAUAAUAAAGAUUGGCACCUCGAUGUUGGCUUAUAUUUCCUUCAUAUAGCAACAUAUAUAGAAGGCAGC